rnacentral:rRNA from 1 species
CCUACGGGAGGCAGCAGUGAGGAAUAUUGGUCAAUGGGCGCGAGCCUGAACCAGCCAAGUCGCGUGAGGGAAGACGGUCCUAUGGAUUGUAAACCUCUUUUGUCGGGGAGCAAAAGACGCCACGCGUGGCGUUCCGAGAGUACCCGAAGAAAAAGCAUCGGCUAACUCCGUGCCAGCAGCCGCGGUAAUACGGAGGAUGCGAGCGUUAUCCGGAUUUAUGGGGUUUAAAGGGUGCGCAGGCGGAAGAUCAAGUCAGCGGUAAAAUUGAGAGGCUCAACCUCUUCGAGCCGUUGAAACUGGUUUUCUUGAGUGAGUGAGAAGUAUGCGGAAGGCGUGGUGUAGCGGUGAAAUGCAUAGAUAUCACGCAGAACUCCGAUUGCGAAGGCAGCAUACCGGCGCUCAACUGACGCUCAUGCACGAAAGUGUGGGUAUCGAACAGGAUUAGAUACCCUAGUAGUC